CUCUUAGCUCCGUACCAGUCUUUACAGUGGCCUGUUGGAUAUUCAGUGGCACCUCAAAACUUAGUAUACCCCUAAUCAAACUAUUUUCCCCCAACAAAUCUGGGCCUAUUGGCUUGUUCCCUAUUUUAGCGACUGGCAUCACCGUCUCUUCAGUUGCACUCAGAAACCUAGGACUAACCCUUCACGCCUCACCUCCCUCCUAUAUUUCGUUCAUCAUCAGCUCCUGUCAAUUCUGCCUCUUAAAUAUCUCUUAAAUCCGCUUUUCUCUCUCUCAUCACCAUUCCAAGCUUUCAUAAUAGCUCAUUCAAAUCAAUUCAAUACCUUCCUAAACUCAUUUACUAGUUCUCUCUCCAAUCUUUUCUUACAUUGCACCCAAAAUCAUCCUUUCACACAUAAAUUUGAUCAGGUCAUUCUUGCCCUCAUCUCCCUAGCCUCUUCCUCACCUCUCUUUCGUACCCCCCUCAACAAACAAACACACAAACAAAAAACAAGAAAGAAAAGAAAGCUUCAGUGGCUUCUUAUUGCUCUAAGGAUAUAGAAAAAACUGAACACGGCCUCUUUUACUAGCUUCAAAUCACACCGUGCUUCCUCUUCCUUUCUCUGCUCCUGCUGGCCUUCUCUGACAAUUUCCUUCUUUCCAUGCUCCUUCCUGCUACAUGCUGCUCUCUCCUUGGAAGGCACUUUCUUACAGUCUUAAUCCAGUUAAUUGCUUUACAGCCUUCAGAUUUUAGCUCAUUUUUCUCAUUUCCCUGAUAAAGUCAAGCCUCUUUAUUCUGGAUCCGAAGUUACCUUGCGCCUAUCCUUCACAGAUUUGAUCACUGUUGCAAUUUCAUACUUAUUUUGAGUGUUUUUGACUGACACCUUCACGAGACUGCAACGUCUGUGAGCACAGACAUCAUGACUGUUUUGCUCACCACUGUAUUCCAGGUGCCUAGCAUAGCACCUGACAGUUAACGAAUGCUUAUGAAAUAUUAUUUAGUGGAUAAAUCCCAUAUCUCUGCUUCUCAAGACAUCUGAGUUGUUCUUUGCUCUUCCCAAAUACCAGCUAGAGAGGAAUAGGCUAAAAUGCAAUCAGGAAGUGGAGAGGACAGAGAAAGCUUAGAAGUCUUACUUUCUCUAGUAAGAUUAGUUAGGAGUUAGAAAGUUUACCUCCAAACCCAAAGCUACUUUCUAUGGAGAAGUAGUAAAGGGUAAAUGCACUCUCAGUCAUCUGAUAUAUCCUAAAACACUUGACAUGUCUGGAAUCAUACUUUCAGGGCAGACUUCCGGCCAACUCUGGCGAUGUUCUACUGUGCGACAGCUGUAAUGCUAUAAAGGAUCAAAAGUCCUGUACAAGUCCAGACAUCUGCUCUUUACACAGUCUCUUCCUAUAUUAUAGAAAAGUAUAGAACAGAAUGACACACGAUUCUUUGUUGGUACAGAUGAAUCAGAUGCUUUCUGCUGCCUAGUCAACGUGGUCACCAUGAGGGAGUCAAGCAAGACUUCCAAACCCCUUGAAUAUGGCUCUUGGAAAUACUGCUAGUUCCCUAGUCAAACUACGAAGAAAAGAUCUAAUGUUUUAGCUACUUGAACAAGGCAACUGAGAAAGCACAGAAUGGAAAAGCAACUGCCUUUGACAGAAAGAUGUGGCAGGUUAAACUUUCUUGAUUUUAACACUCCGAGUUGGUUAAAUGCAAAAUCUUUAUUCAAUAAAUAUGAACAGUGUGAAAUUUAUUUCAAAUUUCCAUUAUGAAUCAUUAAGGCAUCAAGAAAGAAAGGAAUAAAGGUGAAGAGAAAAGAGCAACCAUUCCCAUUUGCUCUGUCUCAACCAACUGCUCAAUUCCUUCAUCUCAUUUACUAUAAUGUGUCGUUAUCUUGUUUACCUGAUUUUUGUUGUGGGACUAUCAUUCCCACAAGACUAUAAACAUAGUGGGAAAGCCCUUCUUUCUGUUCCCUGUCAUACCCAGUGAACAGUCCAAUACCUGCCCAUUGCAUUGUGUCUGUAGCAACAGAAUCACCAGCAGUGCUGGUUAAAAAUGCAUAUUCCUGGGAUCCACUUCAUUAUCUACUGACUAUUUUAGGUGGAGCUGUGGAAUCUGCAAUUUUAACCUUUCUAGAUGAUUCCAAAUCACACCAAAGUAUGAGGACUAUGGAAAAUCUUCACAUCUCUGGAAGAGCCGCAAACCUACAAAAGUAACUGGAAUCACCAAAGCACUGCAAGAGUUGCCUGAAAUGUUAAAGGUAUAAGUACUGGAGUAAAAGUUUGAAGGUCUCCACUUUUGCUAGGACUUUUGGAAGGGCCGAGGAUAUAAGCUGCCUGAAGUCAACACGUUCUCCUGUCUUUUAAAAAACAAUUCAUGAAGAGAUAAAAUCAGAUGUCCUUCUGAAAAUAAGGUCCUAAGAGGAAACAGAUGGUCCUGGACUGCAAAAGAGGGAAGAGGGGACGAUUCCCCAGAGAGAGGAAGGAGGUAGAAGAUGAGGGGGAGGGAGUUCUUAGAAGAGCAGGGGUCUUUGCCCCAUUCUAUCAGUGUUCCAGGAGGUGGCCGGAUAUCAAGAGUUGGCUAGGUGGAAGCCUACAACAGUGGCUCCCAGCUUUGCCAAGAUUCUUGUACCUCAUACGUAAACUUCAAAGCAGCAGGGGCACCACUCUUGAAGGGAUUCUGCGAACUUCAGCAAGAGACAUUUCAGGGGGAAGCAUUACCAAUGUCUAAAGCCCAGAGAAGACUCCUCUUGCAUUGGCAAUGCCUCUGCUCCCUGGAUCAUUUUACUGCUUGGAGAAAAGGGAGCCUCCAACAUAAUGAAGACUGAAAUUUCCCGACAGCUGGAUGGGAAAGGAACUUAGGUUGGAUAGAAAUUAAUUUAAAGAUUAGAAAAAAAAUUAAACAAUUUUCUUGCACAUCAGGGUUUUCAGAUACGAAUCAAAUCCUCAAAGGUCGACUUAU